AGGCAGCAGUGGGGAAUAUUGCACAAUGGGCGCAAGCCUGAUGCAGCCAUGCCGCGUGUAUGAAGAAGGCCUUCGGGUUGUAAAGUACUUUCAGCGGGGAGGAAGGCGAUACGGUUAAUAACCGUGUCGAUUGACGUUACCCCGCAGAAA
rnacentral:rRNA from 1 species